AUUGAACGCUGGCGGCAGGCCUAACACAUGCAAGUCGAGCGAGCGGCGGACGGGUGAGUAAUGUCUGGGAAACUGCCUGAUGGAGGGGGAUAACUACUGGAAACGGUAGCUAAUACCGCAUACCAUCAGAUGUGCCCAGAGGGGCUUAGCUAGUAGGUGGGGUAACGGCUCACCUAGGCGACGAUCCCUAGCUGGUCUGAGAGGAUGACCAGCAACACUGGAGCUGGGACACGGUCCAGACUAAUACGGGAGGCAGCAGUGGGGAAGAUUGCACAAUGGGCGAAAGCCGGAUGCAGCAAGGCCGCGGGUGGGAAGACGGCCUUCGGGUUGUAAAGCACUUUCAGCGGGGAGGCGUUACCCGCAGAAGAAGCACCGGCUAACUACGUGCCAGCAGCCGCGGUAAUAC
rnacentral:rRNA from 1 species